CAUUUCUACUUUCAUCCCUAAACAUAUAUCUAAAAGUGGUUUAAUUAGGGGUUAGUAAAAAAAUAAAUAAAUAAAUAAAAGAGAAAGAAACUGAAAAACUUCUCUAACCAGCAUUGAAAGUACGAUUUCGGGCAAGGUUCCUUCACAGAAGUUACUCAGACACCCAAGGAGAAUUAUUCUAGACUCUUCGAUCGUCCUAAACCAUCAUAAAAUUGAGCAAGAACCCAAGGUAAGUUUUUGAGUUUUUAGUUUCGAUGUUCUUCAGACCUAGGAGAUUCAGGAAGAAUUAAGUUCUGAAAUUUCAAUAUGAUAUUGUUCAAAGAAUUUCACACAUUUUCAAUGAAGAAAGCUCGAAUUGAACCACACCAGGAGUUUUGGCAUUCGUCAAGAAACGUUGAACAUAGGUAGUGGUCAAGGUAGCGGAGUGCUUGGGAGCUGUGUUGUCAAAGAGAGGUGUUGUUUUGAGGCAUCAGUGUAGUCUGUAUUUUCAUGUGUUGCAUUUGUACACUUUUUGUAUUUGGUACCCAUUUUUCGUUUGUAAAUAACUUGAACAGUACCUGCAUUAUAUUUUUUUUGAAUUU